CAUUCGAGUGGCGGACGGGUGAGUAACGCGUGGGUAACCUGCCUUACACAGGGGGAUAACACCUGGAAACAGGUGCUAAUACCGCAUAAGCGCACAGGGCCGUAUGGCCCGGUGUGAAAAACUCCGGUGGUGUAAGAUGGACCCGCGUCUGAUUAGCUUGUUGGCGGGGUAGGGGCCCAUCAAGGCGACGAUCAGUAGCCGGCCUGAGAGGGUGGACGGCCACAUUGGGACUGAGACACGGCCCAAACUCCUACGGAAGGCAGCAG
rnacentral:rRNA from 1 species